UGAGGGCAGCCCCGCACCUCGCCGCCGCCCUGCGGGACGGGGAGCGGGGCUUCGGGAUCCCGGCCCCGCAGGGAUCCGGGUGCCCCGCAGGUGGGCGCCGGUCAGACGGUGCGGGCAGCCCGGGAGCGGGUGAGGCUGCGCUCGGUGGCUGCGGCUGCCGCGAGAUGCGUGAGGCGGGCCCGCCCCGCUCAGGUGCGGCCGUUCCGGGGCGGGACGGGCCCUGAGCACCCGCAGCCUUCGUGCAGCGGGACCUUCGCUGACUCGGAACAUCCACGUUACCUGGACGUGACAAUUGCGUUUCGAUCUGUGAAGGUAAAAUAACCACCACAACAACAACAAAAUUAAAGCACAAAUCCGCGGAAAGGAAGGAACAGUAAUAAUCCUCCUCACCGGUGUAACUGCUGCUGAGGACAACAACUGCUGAAGUACAAUCAAAAUAAAAGGUUUGAAAUGUGUACCUUACAAGAUGCAGAACAAAAUGGUGCUAAGUCUAAAAUCAGUGGGAAAUCCACAUGCCUGUUGACUUUCCGUAGACUCAAACCAGCCUUCAAAAGAGAAGGGGAAAAAAAGACUGUAAGAUAAAUAUUCUUACUAGGAAGCUUUCCAAAGCUAGGGUGUAUUACUAUAUUAUUAAAAUAAACCAAAACCAAGAAUAAUAUUGUAACUGAUUUAACCAUUCUUUGUCAUGUUUUCAAUACAGUGCCUGCUGCACAUGAGCAUGAUGGACACCUGUAAGGAUUCCCUGGACACUGGCUGAAGGGAUUAGUCAAGAAACCAUAAGCAUGUUUCAAAUAGUGGUUCUACCAGUUCUCCCUAUAAAACCCAAGUACUGGUAUGCACAAUGAACUGGAAGAACUGCCUCUGCUAGUGAGGAGGAGGAAUAUACAAGAAGGUUUGGGGAUUUACCUGGUGGAAUCUUUUCAGGUGGAGAAUAAGAACAGCAGGAACAGAAGAAAUCAGCAGCUGUUUCCGAGCAUUUGUGUAGACACCUUCCAUUUUUUUGUCUGCAUUUUUGAAUAUCAAAAUAAAUGGUGAAGUGAAGGCAGUCACACAGAAUUUCAGUAUUUUUUAAACAUCUGACAGAGCAGAUCUGGGUAGCAGUGAUUUCGUACAUGUUACAUAAAAUGGAAGGAAAAUUUUGUGGAGUAACAAAAACAUUCUCUCAUUUCUCUAGUUUCUAAUAAAUAUAAUCUGCCAACUCUGAGCAUCAUUUUAGCCUGUUCUGUGCAAAUCAAGAUCAAAAGUUGGAAGCAUCUACACUAUCUAGGUCAGCCUGCUCACUGAGAUUCCUACAUUGCCUGUUACUAAAGCACCCAACUUUCCUGUGAAAACCAUUUCACCUGAAAGAAAUGGAUGAUCACUGGGACAAGAAAUGGAAGGCAGAGGUCUCUUUAUCUAUGCUAACAUGCUGAACUCUAUGACAGAGAUUAAUUUUCCAUUCAUCUGUUCUUUCUGAAUGACUACUUAUUUCAGAUUGCCUCAUAACCUGCUGGCUUGAGCACAUGGGAUUGGAAAAUGUGGACCAACCCUGCUAUGGUGCAGAGGGGGCUGAACCCAGGGCUCCUAACAAAAGCAGCUCAGUGGUUAGCUGUACAGUAAAAGGGACCAUACUACCAGUAUUUUUUUUUUUUUGGCUGAAUAAGUAAUUUACUGAUUUUACACAUCCAAAGGAAAUAUUUCUUUUGAGGUAGAGUGAAGCAUUUCAUGUACAAGUUGGUGACUUCUUAGAUCUUUUGUUUUAGAAGGAAAAAUCAUGAUUAGUUGUGAAAAGGUUUUCCAUUUUUCACUGUGCCCACAGAACAUGCUAUUUACGUAGCACAGUCCAAUAAUGAUAAAUGAAUGAGUAUAAAAUACUAUUUUUAGAUUAGUUUUUCUGAAUUUACUCAUGCUUAACUUGUAUCUCUGCAGGUAUCUAUAAAUACACAGCAAAUGGGUAUUUUUGUUACUGUAAGACAUCCCUUUAUAUUUUCUCUACAAACAAUCAGAAAAGCAUAAUUUUUUAUCCUCCUGAGUUACUAUACUUGACAAAAAAAAUCCUCCAGUCUGUUUUAGAAGGUUAUUUUUCAUUAUAUUUAAACUGAUUUUCUUACUCAGUGAACCCUAAUGGUACGCUUGGGCUAUACAAACAUUGAGGAAAACACUGUCAGAAGAAGAUAGCUCUCUCAUCCCCAUUCUUACAAAGCUUUGUCAGGUUUUUUUUCCCUUUUCAUGACAAGUGUCUUUGUUUGCCCCCCUUAAAUACCUGAUUACAUUACUUCCCCGAGCAUGUAAGUUGGUAGAGCUGAAUAAUGCAGCAAUUACAUCAAAGCUUCUAGAAUUGUAAAGAACAGAAACAGCAGCAAAGACUAGUAUGAGAUGAUGAGCCUAUUCAGUUUACAGUCAUCUUUGAAUUACCUGUCAGAUAAAAGAUGCAAAAGAAAUUCUAAGGGACACCUCCCAUUGUGUUCUAAUACGACCCGUAAUAUUGUUGCCUUCACAGGAUGAAGUUUAAAGUUGUUACAAGCAAAUUCUGCCUGGGGAGACAUUUUCUCUUUAGCCACGAGGGGAAGGCCCACGCUGGAGCAAUGAAAACAGCAGCGAGUGCACAGCUCUCACACAGAAGCUUGUUGUUCCCCAUGAGGAGCUCUACAGAGGUGAACUGAUAAAGGCAGGACUGAACAGAACAUUCCUUCGAGCUAGUUAUGUAGCUUUGGGAAAGUGUCUGAAAAGCAUUUUGAGGAUUCUGGGAGAGUGAGGAUUUGUCGACGGAGAACGUGGAAUUAUUUGAUAAACCUACUGCGGGAUCCCCACGGCUCGACUUUUUCUCUUCAUUUUUGGUAUCACAGAAGCUGAGUUUGGACAUGGCAGUGGAGAUCACCUCAUCGUUGCUGUCACUGGGCUUUCUAAUGGUGAUGUGGUUGGUGCUGACACCAGACACCUUGCUGGAGGGGCUAAAAUCUGUCUGCUUAGAAGCGCUUUCGCUUUCCGAGGCUUCACUGUCCGCAUCAAAGCUGCUCUCGGAGCGACUGGCUUCCUUCUCACUGCCCUCAGUCUGACUGCCCGUGACAGCAGGAUCUGCAGUUGGGUCUCUGGAGUACAGGACACCAGAGCUACCUUCCACCUCAAGCUUUUUGGUUUUUUCCUGCAUGAUAACAGGACUUCUUUCUUCUUCGUUCGAGGAAGCUUUUCUGGCAAGGCGCCUCUCCUGGUUCAGUUGGUUCUGUGUGAUUGGAGCAUUAUUGUUUCAGUCACAGAGGGUAGAAACAGAAAACCAUCUGUGAUCUAACACAGCUUUUGAAACAUGACACAUUCAAUCCAAAUUAAACCUAUUCUUUUCUAUUCGCCAUCUCUCACAUGUUUAAAGCUACUUGAGCUCCUUAAGAUCUUUUUAAACCAAUUUGGGAUUAGAAACCUACACUGCAACCAUCUAAGAGCAUUACACUUACUGCGAGAUCAAUACUUCCCACAAGUAGUUACACUCACUUCGUGACAGCUGUGGAUGGCACAUUUCAAGGGGUUUUCACUUAAUCUAACUUAAGCUUCUAAAAGGAUCUCAAACUUAAUCUAGUCCCCUUGCCUUCCAUCAGAGGGAGCAGCUGUUGAGCAGCCCUGGAAGAAAAUUCAACUCGCCUUGUAGGCAUUUGUCUUCAAACUAAUUAAAGCAUCCCUAGUCCUAUGCUUGCUAAUUUGUGAAUUAUCUGAAGUUGAUAUCUUUUAUUUUAUCAAGAUUGCAAGAAAAAAAAAAUCGAUGCCACAGAAAACUACUACUACAGAUUUAAAAAAAAACCCCACAACUUGAAGCUGCCAUGAUUUAAAGUGAUAUGUAAGUAUUCUUUUCCUUCCAGGCCUUAAACUUACAAGCAAGUCAACAGUUUGGAAAAUAAAUAAUAAAAUACCAAUAAGAAUCACUAGAAACCUCAAAAA